GAUGAAGAACGCAGCGAAAUGCGAUACGUAAUGUGAAUUGCAGAAUUCAGUGAAUCAUCGAAUCUUUGAACGCACAUUGCGCCUGCCAGCACUCUGGCAGGCAUGCCUGUUCGAGCGUCAUUUCAACCAUCAAGCCCUAGGCUUGCGUUGGAGCCCUGCGGCUGCCGCAGGCCCCUAAAAGCAGUGGCGGGCUCGCUAUCACACCGAGUGCAGUAGAUUACUCUUCGCUCAGGGCGUGUGGCGGGUUCCAGCCGUGAAACCCCCUACUUCUCACGGUUGACCUCGGAUCAGGUAGGAAUACCCGCUGAACUUAAGCAUAUCAAUAAGCGGAGGA
rnacentral:misc_RNA from 1 species